GUUGGCGUUGGCCAAAACCAAAGGCGCCCGACCACCGAUCGGAUCCCGUUCGGGAGUUUGGUUGGGGUCGAGAGUUCGAAUCUCUUCGCCCGCUCCA
rnacentral:tRNA from 1 species